GAUGAAGAACGUAGCGAAAUGCGAUACUUGGUGUGAAUUGCAGAAUCCCGUGAACCAUCGAGUCUUUGAACGCAAGUUGCGCCCGAAGCCAUUAGGCCGAGGGCACGCCUGCCUGGGCGUCACACGUCGUUGCCCCCCCAUCUACUCCUUCGGGAUUGCGGGGGGCGGAUGAUGGCCUCCCGUGCGCCUCGCCGCGCGGUUGGCAUAAAUGCCAGGUCCUCGGCGACGCACGCCACGACAAUCGGUGGUUGCGAAACCUCGGUUGCCCGUCGUGUGCGGUCGUCGCGCAUCGAGGGCUCGAAAAAAUUGCCGGGUUCCGGCUCGGCUUUCAACGCGACCCCAGGUCAGGCGGGGUUACCCGCUGAAUUUAAGCAUAUCAAUAAGCGGAGGA
rnacentral:misc_RNA from 1 species